CUGAGGAAAGAAGACACUUCCAAAGUAACAAAUGGGAGGAAGCAGCCAACGCCCGAGGACAACAUGGCAAGAAGGAGCCUUUGGAUUCCGGACUGGGAUGGAAAGAGAGUUGAUUGAAUCCCGGAAUUUGGAAACCCCAGAUACGGAGGGCGGACGGUACAACCGGAGCUGUCAGGUGGAUUUCCAAGGCUUUGCAUUGGCUGUACCUGAAACUUAUGGUGGCCUAGACUCCCCAGUAUCCACUCUUCCUUAUCUUGAAUCUUGCUCUGUCACCCAGGCUGGAGUGCAAUGGUGCAAUCUCAAGCUCACUGCAACCUCUGUGCAGGUUCAAGUGGAGAAUCUGAAUCUUGAUGAUAUAAUUGGAACUCUUCAGCCAAGCCAUAUCUAACAGAACUAUCUUCAACUUUUCAGUUGAGAAGGAGUCUCGCUCUAUUGCCCAGGCUGGAGUGCAGAGGCACGAUCUCGGCUCACUGCAACCUCCGACUCCCAGGUUCAAGCAAUUCUCCCACCUCAGCCUCCGGACUAGCUGGGAUUACAGGUGCAUGCCACCAUGCCCGGCUAAUUUUUGUAUCUUUAGUAGAGACAAGGUUUCGCCAUGUUGGCCAGGCUUGUCUUGAACUCUUGACCUCAAGUGAUCUGCCCGCCUCUGCCUCUCAAAAUGCUGGGAUUACAGGCGUGAGCCACCACGCCUGGCUCCCUAGAUUGAUUUCAUGUCUUGGCUAUAUUGUGAAUAAUGCUGCAAUGAAUAUGGGAGUGCCAAUAUCUCUUUGACAUACUGAUUGCAUUUCCUUUGGAUAUAUACACAGCAGUGGGAUUGGAUUAUACUAUAGUUAUAUUUUUAAUUUUUUGAGGAAACGUUAUACUGUUUUCCAUAAUAACUAUACUAAUUUAUGUUCCCACAAACAGGGCACAAGUGUUUCCUUUUCCUUUUCUCCAUAUCCUUACCAAGACUUGCUGUGUUUUCUCUUUUUUGAUAAUAGUUAUUCUAACAAGUGUGAGGUAAUAUAAAUAUCUCAUUGUAGUUUUUUGUUUGUUUGUUUUUGUUUGUUUUUGAGACUGAGUCUGGCUUUGUUGCUCAGGCUGGAGUGCAGUGGUGCGAUCUCAGCUCACUGCAACCUCUGCCUCCUGGGUUCAAGCGAUUCUGCUGCCUCAGCCUUCUGAGUAGCUGGCAUUACAGGUGCGUGCCACCAUGCCCAGCUAAUUUUUUGUAUUUUUAGUAGAGAUGGGGUUUCACCAUGUUAGCCAGGAUGGUCUCAAUCUCCUGACCUUGUGAUCCUCCCGCCUCGGUCUCCCAAAGUGCUGGGAUUACAGGUGUGAGCCACUACACCCGGCCCUGUUGUUUCAUUCUUUUAUCUUUCUGUUUCAUCUCAUUUAAUCACCACAAUAACCCGACAAGACAGGAACUAUUAUUAUCCCCGUUUUUCUUUUUCUUUUUUUCUUUUUUAUGGCAGGGGGGAGUGCAGUUUCACUCUUGCCACCUAGGCUGGAGUGCAAUGGCGCAAUCUGGGCUCACUGCAACCUCCGCCUCCUGUGUUCAAGUGAUUCUCCUGCCUCAGCCUCCCAAGUAGCUGGGAUUACAGGCAUGCACCACCACGCCCAGCUAAUUUUUGUUUUUAGUGUUUUAGAGAUGGGAUUUCAUCAUGUUGGCCAGGCUGAUCUUGAAUUCCUGACCUCAGGUGAUCAGCCCACCUUGGCCUCCUAAAGUGUUGGGAUUACAGGUGUGAACCACCACGCCCAACCUCAUUGUAGUUUUAAUUCACAUUCCCUGAUGAUGAGUGGGUUGACUAUUUUUCCAUAUACCUGUCGGCCAUUUGUAUGUCUUCUUUUGAGAAAUGUCUAUUUAGGUUCUUUGCUCAUUUUAAAAUCAGGUUGUCUUCUUGCUAUUGACUUGUUUGAGUUCCUUAUAUAUUUUUGAUAAUGAUCCCUUAUCAGAAGUGUUGUUUGCACAUAUUUUCUCCCUCUCUGUAGGUCAUCUUUUUACUCUGUUGAUUGUUUCUUUUGCUGUGCAGAAGCUUUUUAGUUUGAUGUAAUUCUAUUAGGUUUUCCAGUAUGACUGGGGGAAUAGUGUAUUAUGUAUUCUUUUGUGUCUGGUCUGCUCUUCUCUCCACUCAACAUUGUAUCUGUAAGAUUUAUUUGUGUUAUUUUAUGUAUCAGUAGUUUGUUACUUAUUGAUAGAUGUUUAACAUUCCAAUAUGCAAACAAACUACAUUUAUUUACAAAUUUUAUUAUUGAUGGACAUUUAGAUUGUUUGGGGUUACUAUGAAUAAAAUUGCCAUGGACAUUU
ensembl:lncRNA TCF12-DT TCF12 divergent transcript